GUCUACGGCCAUGCCACCCUGAACGCGCCCAAUCUCAUCUGAUCUCAGAAGCUAAGCAGGGUCGGGCCUGGUUAAUACUUAGAUGGGAGAAAACAGGGGAAACACUACAGGACAUCUUUCUAGGCA
rnacentral:rRNA from 1 species